GACGAACGCUGGCGGCGUGCCUAACACAUGCAAGUCGAACGGAGAAUUAGCAAUAAUUCUUAGUGGCGAAAGGGUGAGUAACGCGUAGACAACCUACCCUUUAGAUGGGGACAACACCGCGAAAGUGGUGCUAAUACCGAAUAAUGCUUGAGAAGCGCAUGCUUUUCAAACUAAAGAUGGCCUCUAUUUAUAAGCUAUCGCUAAAGAAUGGGUCUGCGUUUGAUUAGCUAGUUGGUGAGAUAAAAGCUCACCAAGGCAACGAUCAGUAGCCGGGCGGAGAGGAUGAACGGCCACACUGGGACUGAGACACGGCCCAGACUCCUACGGGAGGCAGCAGUGGGGAAUCUUCCGCAAUGGACGAAAGUCUGACGGAGCAACGCCGCGUGAGUGAUGAAGGUUUUCGGAUCGUAAAACUCUGUUGUUAAGGACGAAUGUAUAGAUUGUGAAUAAUGGUUUAUAAUGACGGUACUUAACGAGGAAGCCACGGCUAACUACGUGCCAGCCGCCGCCGUAA
rnacentral:rRNA from 1 species